GACGAACGCUGGCGGCGUGCCUAAUACAUGCAAGUAGAACGCUGAAGCGAGGAGCUUGCUCUUCUUGGAUGAGUUGCGAACGGGUGAGUAACGCGUAGGUAACCUGCCUGGUAGCGGGGGAUAACUAUUGGAAACGAUAGCUAAUACUGCAUAAAAUGGAUUAUCGCAUGAUAAUCCAUUGAAAGGUGCAAAUGCAUCACUACCAGAUGGACCUGCGUUGUAUUAGCUAGUUGGUGGGGUAACGGCUCACCAAGGCGACGAUACAUAGCCGACCUGAGAGGGUGAUCGGCCACACUGGGACUGAGACACGGCCCAGACUCCUACGGGAGGCAGCAGUAGGGAAUCUUCGGCAAUGGACGGAAGUCUGACCGAGCAACGCCGCGUGAGUGAAGAAGGUUUUCGGAUCGUAAAGCUCUGUUGUAAGAGAAGAACGAGUGUGAGAGUGGAAAGUUCACACUGUGACGGUAUCUUACCAGAAAGGGACGGCUAACUACGUG
rnacentral:rRNA from 1 species